CGAGUAAGCGAGACAGUCGCGUGGCAAGGCCGAAAGGCCCGUCAUGAGGAAAGUCCGGGCUCCACAGGGCAAGGAUAACGGGUAACGCCCGCCGAAGGCGACUUCAGGAAAAGUGCAACAGAAAUAGACCGCCGGUAUCGGCCCCGCUCUGCGCGGCCAAUGCCUGGUAAGGAUGGAAAGGCGAGGUAAGAGCUCACCCAUCGGCUGGAAACUGUCCGAUGCUGUAAACUCUAUCCGGAGCAACACCGUGGGAGGACGCAGGGGCCGGCCCGGCCCGUCCUCAAGGAGGUGGCUGGAGCGGUCUGGCGACAGGCCGCCUAGAUAGAUGACUGUCAUAUACAGAACCCGGCUUAUUGUCUUGCUCGCGCC
rnacentral:RNase_P_RNA from 1 species